UACGAAAGGGGGGCUAGCGUUGCUCGGAAUCACUGGGCGUAAAGCGCACGUAGGCGGAUAUUUAAGUCAGGGGUGAAAUCCCAGAGCUCAACUCUGGAACUGCCUUUGGAUACUGGGUAUCUUGAGUAUGGAAGAGGUAAGUGGAAUUGCGAGUGUAGAGGUGAAAUUCGUAGAUAUUCGCAGGAACACCAGUGGCGAAGGCGGCUUACUGGUCCAUAACUGACGCUGAGG
rnacentral:rRNA from 1 species